GAUCUGUAAAAUAAGAAAUGAAAAUGAAUAUAAAAUAUGAAAUGAGUUUAUAACAUGAAUCAGAAAGAGGUCACUGAGACCCACAAGAAGAGUUAUUUUAGUGGGGUGAAGGGGAUAGAGGCCAGAUGGAUUUGUGAGUGCUGACAGUGACCUGGGUUAAUUCAAGGCUAGCUAUGUCAAAACAAAUUUACUGGAAAAUCAGUAACACAAUAAGCUUAACUGGCUUUAAAAAGAAAAGAAAGAAAGAAAGAAAGCAAACAACCUUCCUCAAUUAAAAUCCUGAUUUUUUUGCUUGUUUUAUUAAAACGUUUGCUACUAACUUUUUUAGACUAUAUGUGCUCAAUAACUUGACCUAAUGAUUCUUGAUCAGAUUAGAUGACACUGACUGCCCUAUCUCCAACUGUAUAUUAGACUAGCAAUUAUUAAACAAAAAUCAAAGACAGCAAAUUAGUAUGACAAGAAGAUUGUAUUUAAUGAAAUUUGACCUGAAUCUUAAAGAUGGCCAAAGAAAAAUAGUGUGUAUUAAAAUAUGUCAAAAGUGGAUUAGGGUCUGCCAAAGCAAACACUUACAGAUUUGUCUCUUGAACAAACAUCUUUAAAAUACGUGUUAAUUCUAAGCGGUUUGGUUUUGUUCUAUCAGUAGGAACACUCCCUGCAGCUGAAUUGGCAGAUCCUUUGUUUUCAUAAGAGUUCUUUGAACCAAUCAGGACACAGAUUAUCUUAUUAUACCUCUGUGGGCUUGCGUUUCUUUUGAUGAGAGUCUAGAGAAGUCAUGGGUAAUACUUUACCGUGUGCCAGAGACAGCUUGUGUUUCAGUUGUACAAGGUCAGAUCUUAAUUUAACCACCAACUGGAUACUUAAUUUUAGAUACACAGAGGAACACAUUGGCUCCAGGGCACUUCCUCUGAUUUAGGAAGGUAAGUCCCUGGAUAAGAAUGACAAGAUGAUCAUUCCAAAAGGAUAAAUCCUGAUGAUUCUCUCAGGGACCUCCAGUAGAUAAGCUCAACACUCAAGAACCACUGCAGUUUCAAGGUCUAUUCCAGUAAUGCUCCUGUGACCGGCUGUCUGGCACCUUAGUACUCCUCCAUGUAGAUCUUCACUUCAUCCCAACCUUUCAGGAAAAGGCUGAAGACACCUGGGCUGAAUUGGAGUUGUUCUGCAUAUGACCACUGAGAGCAGCUGUUUGCUAUAGUUGACAAGGAGUAGGAACAGAGGGAAGAGGUAGAAAGAAAAACGAGAAGAGAUUUUGUUUCCCCUCAGAAAACUAAUGGUCCAAGUGAAAACACAAGCACAAGAAUGGAUACUACUGAUGACCCCGAUGAAGACCAUCUUACAAGUUAUGAUAUUCAGCUAAGUAUUCAAGAAUCCAUUGAAGCCAGCAAGACUGUACUUUAUCCUGAAAGAUUUGUACCCCUAAGCGGUCAAAACAGAAAACUUGUGGAGGCCAUAAAACAAGGUCACAUUCUUGAGCUACAGGAGUAUGUAAAAUAUAAAUACGCAAUGGAUGAAGCUGAUGAAAAAGGAUGGUUUCCAUUGCAUGAAGCUGUUGUCCAACCCAUUCAACAAAUACUUGAGACUGUUCUGGAUGCAUCCUAUAAGACACUCUGGGAAUUCAAGACCUGUGAUGGAGAAACACCCUUGACUUUGGCAGUCAAAGCUGGUCUGGUGGAAAAUGUAAGAACUUUACUAGAAAAGGGAGUAUGGCCCAACACCAAAAAUGACAAAGGAGAGACCCCCCUUCUGAUUGCUGUAAAAAAGGGCUCCUAUGACAUGGUAUCUACGCUGAUCAAACACAACACUAGCCUAGACCAGCCCUGUGUCAAGCGAUGGUCAGCAAUGCAUGAAGCCGCCAAGCAAGGCCGAAAAGACAUCAUAGCUCUGCUGCUAAAACAUGGAGGCAAUGUCCACCUGAGAGAUGGAUUUGGAGUCACACCCUUAGGCGUUGCUGCCGAGUUUGGUCACUGUGAUGUGUUAGAACAUCUAAUCCACAAAGGUGGUGAUGUGCUUGCUCUGGCGGAUGAUGGGGCGUCGGUGCUGUUUGAGGCAGCAGGAGGUGGCAAUCCUGACUGCAUUUCCCUCCUGCUGGAAUAUGGAGGAAGUGGAAAUGUACCUAACCGAGCAGGGCAUCUUCCUAUACACCGAGCUGCCUAUGAGGGGCAUUAUCUUGCACUGAAAUAUCUUAUCCCGGUAACAUCUAAAAAUGCAAUUCGGAAAAGUGGGCUAACACCAAUUCACUCAGCGGCAGAUGGACAAAACGCACAGUGUCUAGAACUGCUCAUUGAAAAUGGCUUUGAUGUCAAUACCCUACUUGCCAACCACAUUUCCCAGAGCUAUGACGAUGAGAGGAAGACUGCGCUGUAUUUUGCCGUUUCUAAUAAUGACGUUCGUUGCACAGAAGUCCUUCUGGCUGCAGGUGCAGACCCAAACUUAGAUCCCCUCAACUGUCUGCUUGUGGCAGUGAGGGCCAAUAAUUAUGAAAUUGUCCGGCUGCUUCUCUCCCAUGGAGCUAAUGUCAAUUGUUACUUUAUGCAUGUGAAUGACACUCGUUUCCCCAGUGUCAUUCAGUAUGCCCUAAAUGACGAGGUAAUGCUGAGGCUAUUGCUGAAUAAUGGCUAUCAAGUGGAGAUGUGCUUUGACUGCAUGCAUGGUGACAUCUUUGGAAAUUCAUUUGUGUGGUCAGAGAUAGAGGAAGAGGUGCUGCCAGGAUGGACAUCUUGUGUAAUAAAAGAUAACCCGUUCUGUGAGUUUAUUACAGUUCCUUGGAUGAAGCACUUGGUAGGCAGAGUUACUCGAGUACUAAUAGAUUACAUGGAUUAUGUUCCUCUGUGUGCUAAACUGAAGUCUGCACUAGAAGUACAGAGAGAAUGGCCAGAAAUCCGUCAAAUACUAGGUAAAAACCAGAAGUUUUGCCUACAGUUUUUAAAUUAAGAACAUAUAUGGGGGAAGUUCUUAAUCUCUUCUUUGAUAUUUUUUCUAUGCUACUCUACUACAUUUCCAGAAUUAUCUGGGUUUUAAAAUCAUCCUUAACACUUCCUCUGUGGUAAGAUACAUAUUUUCAUUUUUCUUUAUAUUUUCCAACUUUGUAAUUGUAUAAUGAGUAACAAAAUAGCUAUAUUAACAUUCUGAUUACAAUUCAUUUUUAAAAUUAACUUCCAUAAUAUCACACAAUAUGUAGACUGCAAGCUCCAUGUGGGUAGGGAUCUGCUUUGUUUCUCGUUAUAUUCGCAAGGCUUAGCAUAAGGCCUAGUAAGUACAGUUCAAUAAAUAGGGAGUAAAUGAAUGAACAAAAAGGAUUAGAAUUACUCUUUUUGACCUGCUUUCUCUGAGGUCUUUAUUGACAAAAUCCUACCAUCAAAGGUUAGUAUUUAUAGACAGGCCAUUUUUUCUUUUCUAGGUGAAAGUUUAUCAUGAAAAUGAAUCAUACAAGUUUCAAUGAAUGUACAUUUUAAAAUAAUUCAAAUACAAAUAGAAACCAGAAAAAUAUCAUAGAUUUGAGAUGGUUUCACUUACAAAAUAAGAGUUUGGAAAAAUAAGCUUUCAAAACCUAGUUGGACAUCAAUUUCACAAAGCCUAAAGAAUUAUACAACUUUAUAUGACAUUUAAGUCAUUUGACAUUCUUAAUAUACCUGAAUCAGACUUUCUGUGGAAUUAGUUCUAUAACAGAAGAGACUCUGAGGCAAUCAAAACAGGAAACUUGGAGAAUCUGAUGAGUAAUAUAGUAUUGUUAGCCUAGAAACUGAGCUCUGGGGUCAGAUAGACCUAGAAUGAGAUGAAAUUCUGGCCUUGCCUAGAAGUAGGAUUGCUAGAUUAUAAAGCACAGUGUAAUUCAGGACUGAUGUUUUCAUGAAAAAGGGCAACAAUUUAUUGUUACAAUUUUUGUUUUUUUAAGUGAAGGAGGAUUUUUUUAUUUCCUAUAAAAAGACCAAGAUAGCCAUUCUAGUUGUGUGACUUUGAGCAAAUUACUUAUUCUUUUUAUGUCUAGGUUUUCCCAUUGCAAAGUAGAUGUAGGAUAGUAUUAACUUUAUAAAGUUGUAGUGAGACUAUAAAGAAAUAAUGCAUAUGAGGUGCUUAGUGUCUAGAACAUUUAAAUUAUAUAAUAAAUUUGGUUUUAAAACUAAAGUAUUAACAUUUUUAUGUUUUUAUUGCAUGGUAAGUUUAUGUGAGAUACCUGAAAUGUAUAUGUAAAGUGUGCUAUGAAAUAUUGUAGAGUUAAAUAGUAUCAUGCCUAUUUUUUACAAAGAAAAAGCUAAGGCUAAAAGAGAUUACAAAAUAGUAUAGACCCUAUGCAUUCUUGAAAACCACCUCUCAAAGUUCCCUUCCUGAACUUAAAGCCUGCAUUGAGAGCAAAAUCAAAAAUUGAUCAGGACAGAAACAAGAAAGGACCCACAAAAAAGAGGGGGCGGCAAACAGAGCCAAGAAACCUCAGAAAUCUAAGCACCAUAUUUUGGGUCAUUGCAAGAAAAUACUAGAGAAAGAAGCUCUGUAAAGUUAAAAGAGCUAUCUGGAACCAAGCAUCCUUCUAAAAAUUCAAGAAAACUAAAUGCAAACAAAAAUGAGCAACAGAAAAUAUCACAGUCAAAUCCCAUAAUAGUAAGAAAAAAAUAGAACAGAUUAAUAUCCCCACAAACAAUGAAUACGUAACAGAAAAAUUACACUGUCAGAACAAUCAAAAUUCAAACCUCUAUUUCAAAAUAAGCCAAAAAGCAUGAGGAAAAUAAUAUAAGAUAUGGAAGAAUAACAUGAGUCAAAAAUUUGAAAAAUUUAGAAACCAGAUAACAACUGAGGAAAGAAUUAGGAAUAAAAAUUAGAAAAAAAUUAAUUUCAAAUGUGAAGACUGAACAACUGGCAACACAGUUGACAAUACAUUGAGAGACAGAAAAGAGGCUAUGGAAGAAAAUUUUUAAAUCAAAUAUAAAUGAAGAAAUAGAUAAAAGGAUUUUUAAGUGUAUAUAUUUGUUCAUUUCAAUAGGUUUUGGGGAAACAGGUGGUGUUUGGUUACAUGGAUAAGUUGUUUGGUGGUGAUUUCUGAGAUUCUGGUGCACCCAUCACCUAAGCAAUGUACACUGUAGCCAAUGUGGACUCUUUUAUACCUGGCCCAUCUUCCGCCCAAGCCCUCAAAGUCCAUUGUAUUAUUCUUAUGCCUUUGCAUCCCUGUAGCUUAGAUUUUUAAAAAAAUUUGAAAGUUAAAAACAUUGAAAACACACAAUGAAUAGUCAAUAUAUGGAUAAUAGGACUCCUUAAAAAGGAAAACCAAAUCAAGGGAACAUAACAAAUACAAAAACUUAGGCUUCAAGAAAAACCUUCUCUAAUAAAAAAGAAAGAUUUGAAACUAUAAUGUACAAAAUACUAUAUCCUUUGGGCAUGUAGACAAAAAGAAUAGGUGACAUAUAAGAGGAAAAAUGGAUUAUUAUUAAGCUUUUUAUCAACAAUACUUCAUGCCAAAAGAAAAUGGAGUAACAUAUUUAAGGAUCUCCACGGAAGGAAAACGUGAGCUACGGAUGCUUACGUGUCAAAAUUGACUUCCAAUGAUCAAUGCAGACAAACUGCUGUCAGCAUGCAAGAACUCAGGAAAUAUUGUUCCUCUUACUGACGUCUGAAGGGUCCACUAAAAAAUGACCUUUAGACAACCCAAAAUGUUUAGAGAGGUAUCAAUGUGAGGACUAGUAUUAACAAGACUAGCAUUAAUCAGAAUGCCAAGACUAAGUGAGAGUUAAAAGGGAGGAGAUGCAAUAUGUAAUGGUUAUAUGCUCUGAUGAAAUAGAUAACAGCACAAUUAUUUAUUUUUAAAUAUGAGUAAACAGAUAAAUAAUAUUUAAUAAAUUAAAACACAUAUUUUAAAAUAUCUUAAAAUAUUGAUGGUGAUAUAUUAAUAUUGUGCUGAGAAUGAUAUAUUCAGUAAAUGAGUUAUUAAGGAAUAUUUCCAUUCCAUUAUUCCUUGUAUCCUUGAAGCCAAGGAUUGCCAGUGUGGCAGAAAAAAAAAUACAAAUGUAACAGAGAAGAGAUUAAAGAAAAAUCCUGUAGUCCUGAAUUUGAAUUAGAAGUAACAAUAUAAACUCAUAAGCUGUUUUAUCUUGAAAGUGUGUGUGUGUACAUGUGGACUGUGCUGUGUGUGUGUGUGUGUGUGUGUGUGUUUGUGUGUCUGUUUACAGAUGAGGCUUAGGAAUAAUGAUAAACCCAGUAGUAAUGAGCAUUCCUACGUCACAGAUUUUGGCCUGGAAAUGCCAUUUCCUACAAAAGAAACCAGGGUUUUUGCUGGAGGUUGUUUUGUUUUGUUUUUGAAAAAUGGAUGAUUGCAUCUGGAGAAGGAAAUGAACAAGAUGAACCUGGAACAUCUGGUCAUACCAGAAAGCAAAGAAACUCUUAAAAACUACAUAAUUCAUGACAAAAGAAUUCAGGGGCCAACUUGAAGAGGUUCCAACUGGCCAAAGAUGAGACAAUUUAAGUUUCAAAAAGGAGAAUCCUUGUUCAUUGAAGCAUUUGUGUCGGUUAAAAAUUCGAAGACUUAUGGGACUCCAGAGACUCUGCCAGCCAGCCUC